rnacentral:lncRNA from 1 species
AUGCUCUUGCAAUCAGACGGAUGCAGGCAGCACCCUUCUGCAGAAGUAAAUGUGCCUUGCUGAGAAAUGUUCUGUCUAAGUGCUGGCUUUUCUUUGAGGCACUGAGCACUUGUUUCUAACAAAAUGGGGGCACAUCUGGGAUCCCAUUCUCCUCCGGAGAAGGGUCUCCAAUCAUCUCUUGUGAGGAGACGUGUCUCACUGCAGCAGCCUCAAGAAUGAGGGAUUGAGACCCACCAGCAUGAUGAAUAUACCGAGACUCUCAGCAACAUGGAAGGAAAAGGCCUACAGAUGCCAUGGUGACCAAGUAAUUCUGUGCACAGACCAAGAAUCUUGCUACUCUCCAUCACAAGGCAAAGUCUAUCUUCCUUUCUUUUGAAUCUGGGAAGACACUUGUGACUGCCUCAAUGAAUAGGAAGAAUACAGUGGAAGUGAUGCUGCGUGGCUGCUAAGAACAGGCUGGAAAAGGCCAUGCAGCCUCUGUUCGUCUCCCUCUUGGAACACUUGUCUUUGGAACCCUGAGUUGCCAAGUAGGACAUCCAGGGCUGCCGUGCUGUGGGGAAGCCCAAAACUAGCCCACACAGAGAGACCACAUGAAAAAACACUGACAUUGCAUGAAGAGAGGGUGAUGUGCUCCAGCUGCCUAAGGCUUCAUCUCCUGCCUGUUCCAGCUCCAGAAAACCUGAAGGCAACAGCAUGAGACACCCUGAGCUAAAACCAUCUAGCUGAGCUGUUUCUGAACUUCUGACCAAUUUCUUAUUUCUGACCAAUAAAAAAUAAUUUUAUUAUCUGUGAUUGAU